rnacentral:rRNA from 1 species
UACAGAGGGUGCGAGCGUUGUCCGGAAUCGUUGGGCGUAAAGCGCGUGUAGGCGGCUUUGCAAGUCGGAUGUGAAAGCCCACGGCUCAACCGUGGAAGUGCAUCCGAAACUGCAUGGCUUGAGUCUCGGAGAGGAAGGUGGAAUGCUUGGUGUAGAGGUGAAAUUCGUAGAUAUCAAGCAGAACACCUGCGGCGAAGGCGGCCUUCUGGACGAUGACUGACGCUGAGACGCGAAAGCGUGGGGAGCAAACAGG